GCGGCCGUGGUCUAACGGUAUGAUUCCAGCCUUCCAAGCUGGUUGCCCGGGUUCAAUUGCAAGCAGAACCGCU
rnacentral:tRNA from 1 species